rnacentral:rRNA from 1 species
AUGGGUUUUGGAGGAGAAGGACUAGGCAUUUUUGUGGCAGAUCAUGCAAAGGAGUUACCUGGGAAUAAUAAAAAUAAUGCAGUAGCUUUGGUCAGGCUCAGAGAUGGCUGUGAUUUGGAAAUUGAUUCAGAUGAUCUUAUCAAAAGCUUGGCAAAAACUUACCCCUGGAGGUGGGAUUGGAAAGCAAAGAAAGUGUCUGAUGGAGUUUUCCUGGUAAAUUUCCCAUCUGUUGCAAGGAUCAAUGAGGCUGCCAUUUAUGACUGGGUCCCUCUGAAAGGUGGAAACAUAAUGGUCAAAGUGAAAGUAUGGAAUGAUAAUAUUAUGGCUAUUGGUAAACUAGCAUUGAUAUGGGUCAGAGCUAAGGGGGUACCAAAAACAAUGAAAAAUUAUCAGGGGCUUUGUGAGAUUGGAUCAAUGAUUGGAUAUGUACAAACUGUUGACAUGGAUCUGGUAAACAAAAGUGGUCUUGUCAGGCUGAAGAUUGUUGUGGUGGAUCACACCAAAAUCCCCAGAUGGAAUAAGCUGACAACUCCAAAUCUCAUGGUUUACAGAAUUUUCUUUGAGGUGGAAGAGGUUUUAGAUGAAGUAUGGACCAAACUAGAAGAUGAAGUAUCACAAGGAUAUGAGGAGUGGAUGGAUUUCCAACAUGAGGAGGAUGAAAAUAGAGAGGCAAAGAAAGCAAAAAAAAGAUGCAAAUGUGGCAAUCUGUGCAAGUACUAG